AGUGAACGCUGGCGGUAGGCCUAACACAUGCAAGUCGAACGGCAGCACAGAGGAGCUUGCUCCUUGGGUGGCGAGUGGUGGACGGGUGAGGAAUACAUCGGAAUCUACUCUGUCGUGGGGGAUAACGUAGGGAAACUUACGCUAAUACCGCAUACGACCUACGGGUGAAAGCAGGGGAUCUUCGGACCUUGCGCGAUUGAAUGAGCCGAUGUCGGAUUAGCUAGUUGGCGGGGUAAAGGCCCACCAAGGCGACGAUCCGUAGCUGGUCUGAGAGGCUGAUCAGCCACACUGGAACUGAGACACGGUCCAGACUCCUACGGGAGGCAGCAGUGGGGAAUAUUGGACAAUGGGCGCAAGCCUGAUCCAGCCAUACCGCGUGGGUGAAGAAGGCCUUCGGGUUGUAAAGCCCUUUUGUUGGGAAAGAAAUCCAUCUGGUUAAUACCCGGGUGGGAUGACGGUACCCAAAGAAUAAGCACCGGCUAACUUCGUGCCAGCCGCCGCGGUAA
rnacentral:rRNA from 1 species